CUUAUUCGAGUAAUAAAUUUCUUCUUCUUUAAUUUACCGAUUAGUUUAAUUGAGAAACCCAACCGUUUCAUUCUUCCUUCAUUGGUAGUAAUAGCCAUUAAUUUCUACCAAAACCCUUUCUUCUUCCUCUUUGAUGACAACAAUUUCAAACGCUAAUAUCUCAUUUUUGUCUCCAUGGAUAAAAAGAGAGUUCCACUUUUCCUCCAUCCUCCAUGAAGACGGGAAAACCGAUCUUGGCCUGUGUUAUCAAUACAUGCUGUCACCAAAAUUUCAAGCUUUCUUGCAAGUUCAAUCACAAAUUAGAAGAGAAGCAUUUUUUUCCAGUAUUUGUAGCAAAAGAUCAACCAUUGUUAUCAUUCGUUGGUCUUAUAUUUACUUCCUUUUUCCUAAAGCGUUGUUUAUAUGCUUUUUGGAGACGGAUUUAUGUAUCGUCCUUUCAGCGGACUUCACAAAUCGUGCUUAUGGCGCCGGAAGAAGAGAAGACGACUCGCUGUUCUCUUCUUGAUUUUCCCAUUGUGAGGUUCGGAACACAUUAAUUUUGGUUAAGUUAUUUAACUUUACUUGCAGUUGUGUUCUUCUACCAAUAAAUUGCAAAGAAAUUGCAAUGAUUUUUCUUU